rfam:Hordeum vulgare subsp. vulgare, WGS project CAJW01000000 data, contig: morex_contig_49295
GAAAUACUCCCUCCGUCCCAAAAUUCUUGUCUUAGGAUUUUCUAGAAAUGGAUGUAUCUAAAUACUCAAAUGUGACUAGAUACAUUCAUAUAUAGAUAAAGGUAAGACAAGAAUUUUGGGACGGAGGGAGUAUAUG